rnacentral:rRNA from 1 species
GCACACAACGACUCUCGGCAACGGAUAUCUCGGCUCUCGCAUCGAUGAAGAACGUAGCGAAAUGCGAUACUUGGUGUGAAUUGCAGAAUCCCGCGAACCAUCGAGUCUUUGAACGCAAGUUGCGCCCGAAGCCGUCAGGCCGAGGGCACGUCUGCCUGGGCGUCACGCG